AUUGAACGCUGGCGGAAUGCUUUACACAUGCAAGUCGAACGGUAGAGGGGGCAACCCCUUGAGAGUGGCGAACGGGUGAGUAAUAUAUCGGAACGUGCCCAGUCGUGGGGAUAACGUAGCGAAAGUUACGCUAAUACCGCAUACGAUCUAAGGAUGAAAGCGGGGGAUCGCAAGACCUCGCGCGAUUGGAGCGGCCGAUAUCAGAUUAGGUAGUUGGUGGGGUAAAGGCUCACCAAGCCAACGAUCUGUAGCUGGUCUGAGAGGACGACCAGCCACACUGGAACUGAGACACGGUCCAGACUCCUACGGGAGGCAGCAGUGGGGAAUUUUGGACAAAUGGGCGCAAGCCUGAUCCAGCAAUGCCGCGUGCAGGAUGAAGGCCUUCGGUGUAACUGCUUUGUACGGUAACGAAACGGUAGAGCU
rnacentral:rRNA from 1 species